rnacentral:sRNA from 1 species
UAUAAAAAUUGAAAAUAUUCAUUAUGCAAAAUGCCCCCCCCCCCCAAAAUGACCUUAAAAAAUUGGGAUAUAGUGCAAUACAGCUUUGAGGCAUUUUGAAGGAUUAAGAUGAAAGUGCCUGUUUUUCCAUUCAGUAAUACACCAAUUCUUGGAAAACUUUGUUUACAUUCCUUUAUUAAUGUCUCAUUAAUGUAUAUAUACGUAUAUAAAUGUAAAGGUUCAUUAUGUAUCAAUGUAUCAAGCAAAAUUAAAUGGGCAUGGUCACGAUUUUGGUAAAAUUUUAUUUUCUAUUCAUAUUGUUUAAAAUCUUUCGUAAUGCCUUUCUAAAGAUCAACCAAAAUUGAGUGUCAAUCGUAGAUAUAAAGGCAAGAUACAGAGUUCAAUUCUUUGUUAUGAAAAUAUUUAAAACAGAGAAAUAAAUUGUGAUUGGCGAAAAUCGUGACCAUGCCUCUGAAUUUGUUACAGUGAAAGAUGAUCCACAAAAUGUAAACUAGUCACUUAUUAAUUUCAUUAAGUAUUACUUAUACAUGUAUAUUUCACUUACACUGUUAAAGACGAUGAAAAGUCAAUGACAUUUUAUAACCGUUGUCACCUUCUGUAGAAUUUAUUAGACUAGUAUCAUUCUUGAUGUAAAGUUGUAUGUAUCAACCUUAUCAUUACUGGACUUAGAAACCAUGUGUGCCAACUAUGUCAAACAAACCAUCUGUAUGCUUUCUCUAUACGAUUUUUUUAUCACAUUAGAAAAAAAAAACCAUAUUUUUUUAUCAUAUUUAUAGCGACUGCAUACUGUAAAUGCUUGAACGUGUCUGUAAAGAUGUGGAAAUCGAUUUUUAUAAAGAUUGAUAGAGUC